rnacentral:lncRNA from 1 species
GUUUGCAUGUUCCGCUUCUGUGGCCCGAGGUUCGCUGGUUCGGAUCCUGGGUGCAGACAUGGCAUCACUUGGUUUAUUGAGAUACAGUUGACAUAUAACAUUGUGAAAGCUCUUCAGAUCAAGAGGAACUGUACUCAAGGGGCUAUAUUUAAGGAACUGUACCUAAGAAGUUCAUCUGUACCUGGUCCUGAAGCCUCAGCCCGACAUUGUGGGUAUUGAGGAAUGAGUAUAUUUUGCAUGUGGGAGAGAUACGAACUGCUGUGGCUAGAAGGUGCACUGUGGUAUGUUGUAUUUUCAAAAACUGGUCUCAACAAUAUUUCUGGUCUCACAUGCUCUUCUAGAACCUUACCGCUUCCCGUCAAGAGACUGAAUUUAUUCUCACCCACCCCUUGAAACUGGGCUGGACUUUACAUUGAUUAAUAGAAUGUGGAGGAAGUGAUACUGUAUGACUUCCAAGGAUGGGUCAUAAAAGAUGGUACUGCUUCUGCUUGGCUUUCAGGAUGCUUACCUUUGGAACCUAGCCACCCUGGUAUGAGGAAGCCUGGGCCACAUACAGAAGCCAUGUUUUUGGAAGCUGAGAAGUCUGAGAUCAAGGCACCUGCAGAUUCGGUGUCUGUUGAGAGCCCACGUCCUGGUUCAUAGAAGGCUGUCUUCUCGUUUCAGGAGGAACCAGGCUACUCCUUCAGCACGGCUUCGAGAUCUUCUCAGCUAAAUAUCCAGUGUCAUUGCUUGCAGUUCUACCUCCCACAAAACACUAGGACGUGAACACAAUUCAGCCAAUUUUUU